rnacentral:rRNA from 1 species
CCCUUAGAUGUUCUGGGCAGCACGCGCGCUACAAUGGUCUUCGCAAACGGAUGCAUUCUCGAAGGAGAAUGCCAAUCUUGGAAUCUAUGCCUUGGUCGGGACAGUUGCUUGCAAUUUUUCGACUCGAACCAGGAAUUCCUUGUAAUCGUGAUUCAUCACAUCACGAUGAAUACGUCCCUGCCCUUUGUACACACCGCCCGUCGCUCCUACCGAUCGAAGAGUUAGGUGAAUUGUUUUGAUCGAUAAGAUUUGACUAUGGUCAACUCUCGUUGUGAAAUUCUGUGAAUCUGACUGUUUAGAGGAAUGAAAAGUCGUAACA